UACGGGAGGCAGCAGUGGGGAAUAUUGCACAAUGGGCGCAAGCCUGAUGCAGCCAUGCCGCGUGUAUGAAAAAGGCCUUCGGGUUGUAAAGUACUUUCAGUCGUGAGGAAGGUGUUAAGGUUAAUAACCUUAGCAAUUGACGUUAGCGACAGAAGAAGCACCGGCUAACUCCGUGCCAGCAGCCGCGGUAAUACGGAGGGUGCGAGCGUUAAUCGGAAUUACUGGGCGUAAAGGGCACGCAGGCGGUUAAUUAAGUUGGAUGUGAAAUCCCCGGGCUUAACCUGGGAAUGGCAUUCAAGACUGGUUAGCUAGAGUCUUGUAGAGGGGGUAGAAUUCCAUGUGUAGCGGUGAAAUGCGUAGAGAUGUGGAGGAAUACCGGUGGCGAAAGGCGGCCCCUGGACAAAGACUGACGCUCAUGUGCGAAAGCGUGGGGAGCAAACAGGGAUUAGAUACC
rnacentral:rRNA from 1 species